rnacentral:rRNA from 1 species
CAUUUCCUACGGGGGGCAGCAGUGGGGGAUAUUGCACAAUGGGGGGAACCCUGAUGCAGCGACGCCGCGUGGGUGAGGAAGCGCCUCGGCGCGUAAAGCCCUGUCAGCAGGGAAGAAAAUGACGGUACCUGAAGAAGAAGCCCCGGCUAACUACGUGCCAGCAGCCGCGGUAAUACGUAGGGGGCAAGCGUUAUCCGGAUUUAUUGGGUUUAAAGGGUGCGCAGGCGGCGAGUUAAGUCAGCGGUAAAAUUUCGGGGCUCAACCCCGACAAGCCGUUGAAACUGGCUUGCUAGAGUGGGCGAGAA